rnacentral:rRNA from 1 species
CCUACGGGUGGCUGCAGUGGGGAAUAUUGGACAAUGGGCGAAAGCCUGAUCCAGCCAUGCCGCGUGUGUGAAGAAGGCCUUCGGGUUGUAAAGCACUUUCAGUGGGGAAGAAAGCCUUGGGGCUAAUACCCUCGAGGAAGGACAUCACCCACAGAAGAAGCACCGGCUAACUCCGUGCCAGCAGCCGCGGUAAUACGGAGGGUGCGAGCGUUAAUCGGAAUUACUGGGCGUAAAGCGCGCGUAGGCGGUCUGAUAAGCCGGUUGUGAAAGCCCCGGGCUCAACCUGGGAACGGCAUCCGGAACUGUCAGGCUAGAGUGCAGGAGAGGAAGGUAGAAUUCCCGGUGUAGCGGUGAAAUGCGUAGAGAUCGGGAGGAAUACCAGUGGCGAAGGCGGCCUUCUGGACUGACACUGACGCUGAGGUGCGAAAGCGUGGGUAGCAAACAGGAUUAGAUCCCCUAGUAGUC